AGCUAUAUGUACCUGGAAGAUUAGAUAACAAACUGUUAUCAGAAAACAUCUUAGUGCAACAGGAUGGGCAGCGCGAAGAUUGUUGGCCAAGAUUAAAUCAUGAAUUUUCUCAACACUCCUAUGAAGUCGUUAAAGGAGAAGAAGUAGAGAAAGAAUGACAAAAAGUUAUAUAUUAAAAGCAGCAAGUUUGGACCUCCCUGGUGGCACAAAGGUUAAGAAUCCACCUGCCAAUGCAGAGAACAUGGGUUCAAGCCCUGGUCUGGGAAGAUCCCACAUGCUGUGGAGCAACUAAGCCCGUGUGCCACAACUACUGAAGCCCGCGCGCCUAGAGCCUGUGCUCCGCAACAAGGGAAGCCACCGCAAUGAGGCGCCCACGCACCACAAUAAAGAGUAGCCCCCGCUUGCUGCAACUAGAGAAAGUCUGCGCACAGCAACAAAGACCCAGUGCAGCCAAAAAUAAAAAUAAAUAAAAUAUAAAUAAAAUGUUUUAAAAAGCAGCAAGUUUACAAAACUCUUAGCUUGACAAAUAUCUUAUAAAUUCUUUCUUUAAAUGCUAAGGGCUACAAAAUAUAAUUUAGUACCUAUGAGCUUCUAGGAGCUAUUUACCACUUUAAUAAUUAACAAGCCAUACAUUAACAUUUAAAAAGUCAUAAAAAUUUACAUCUAUAAGUGAUUUUACUUAAUAGGUUACCAAUAUGCAUUCUGAGCAAUAGAAGGGGAACAGCACUAAUAAAAUGUAUACUGAACUCAGUAAAAGUAAUUUAUGCAACUAGUGCUCAAUUGAUGACGAGGGCAAGUUAUAGGCUGGUUAUACGUCAUGGUUUCAUCUGUCCCUAACAAAUGAUUCUUGCCACACUGCCUCCUGUAAUUAGGAGUGACACUCUGCUUGGAGGCAAAGGCAUGCACAGAGUGGCCUUUCAAAAUUCCUUUGAGAAGACCGUGAUAAAUUUCAAAGCAACAUCUAGUAAAUGGUAGAGUAAGACACAGAUCUGAGAGUGGAAACCAUUUCAGAUUGAAGUAAUCAGGGCAUAGUCCUUUCUUAAAAAAAUACUUUGCAUAUCUUCUCAAAAUAUAAGAUGAGCAAAUCAACAAUUAUUUAGUGACAACAGUACAUAGAGAAAAACAAAAUCCUUGAAUAAAUAACUUAGUGAGAAUAAAAUAAAUCAGUCCUGCACAAUUUACAUCUCUCUUGCCUCUUUGAAAUUAGAUGUACCCUGGUACCCUGGUAAGUCAUGGAAAAGUAGAACAAUAUUUAACUGCAAAUUUCUAGUAAACAAAUUCCACUUCCAGUGUGUGAGAAUUUUGAGUCAUUUUUUUGUGGGAACUGAUUAGCAAAAGAAAAAAUAGAAUCUGAAAUGGGAAAUGGAAAUAGAGCAGAUGGCAAUAAAUCAGUGUAGAUUUUAAUAAUAAAAGUUUAGGAAAGAAGACAAAAGAUAAGAGAAAAAUAUUCUCAAGUUUUACUGUGCUGUCUCGUGCUGAAAGAAAGAGAACUAGGAAGACAAAUAAACAAUGGAGUCAUCUCACAAUCAAAAAGGCAUUAAAUCCUGAGUGAGGAACCAGAAUCAGGGGAAAAAGCUUUUUACAAUGUUUAUUAUCUACAGUAAGAUACAUUUCUAAGUGUCUCCUUGAUAUAGUAGUGGAUUGAGUAUCAGACAUAAACUAUUGAGGUUUGGUGAAUUAAAAAAAAAAACCUAAUAAAAUAAUUAUUGUUAAUUUAAGAUGUAAAAAUUGCCCUAAUAUUGUCUUUAUUUGUUGAUGUAUUAUUUUAUUUUAGCAUAGACAACACACAUUGUUAAUGGUCUUUAUAUGUUUACUCUCAACUUGAGUCCCCACAGUUUUUUCUUCCUAUAGAAAUAUUUCAUCAACUAAAUAGAAAUAGUUCUCUUGUAUUAUCUGAUGAUGAUAAAAGUAAUCAAUGUUUUGUGUAAAACACUCAGAAAUAAACUAUAACUCUCAUAUAUUGCUGAUGGGAAUGCAAAAUGGAACAUCUACUCUGAAAAGAGUUUUGAAGUUUUUUAUUUAAAGUUAAAUAUACACUUACCAUAUGAUCCAGACAUUCUGCUCCUAGGUAUUUACCCAAGAGAAAUGAAAUACUCUCCUACAAAAUAAUCUGUAAA